rnacentral:rRNA from 1 species
CCUACUGUUGAUGCUUCUUUGGCUCCUGCUCCUGCGGCGGCUGAGGAGGAUGACGAUUAUGCGGGCGAUUAUGAGGAUGAGGUUGAUCAAAAUCAGAACUACGUGCAGCCACCAGCACCACCACCAGCAGGUCGACCUCAGGUAUAUAUUCGCAACGGUAGGCCGGCACCACCACCUCAGGUACGAGAUCAUGACCAUCUCCCUAAACUGAAAUUGAAUAUUCCACCAUUUGAGGGUAGAUAUGUUCCUGAUAUAUAUCUUACUUGGGAGUUAGAAACUGAACAACGAUUUACAUGUUUACAAUAUCCUGAGGACAAACAUGUUCCUGCUGCUGUUUGUGCUUUCACUAGCUUUGCAUGUGUUUGGUGGUCUGAACAUUGCAGAUUAUAUCCUGUUCCAGCUACUUGGGCUGCUUUGAAAACUGCUAUGCGUACUCGUUGGGUUCCACCAUAUUAUCAACGUGAAUUACUUCAAAAAUUGCAGCGUUUAAGACAAGGGAAAAAUUCUGUAGAAAAAUAUUAUCAGGAAUUACAAACUGGCAUGAUUAGAUGUGGUAUUGUUGAGGAGAAUGAAGCUAUGCUUGCACGUUUUAUGGGUGGAUUAAAUAAAGAGAUUCAGACCAUUCUAGAGUAUAAGGAUUAUAAUAAUAUCACUCGUUUAUUCCAUCUUGCUUGUAAAGCUGAACGUGAAGUGCAGGAUCGACAGCCAUUGGCGCGAACUAACUUUUCUGCAGGUCGACCUUCAUCAUGGACACCGCGUGCAUCUUCUACUUCCACUUCACCAUCACCUCCAUCAGGUGCCACCUCCGGCCGUGAUACAAGAAAGCAGGCACAACCACCACUCUCUGCCAAGAGCACACCUGCUGGGCCUGCGCAGAGCUCUUCUUCUUCCAUGGCAUCGACAGGGCACACAAGUGAUAUUAUUUGUCGUCGUUCUAAGGGAAGAGGACAUUUUGCGAGAGAAUGCAAAUCUCAGCGUGUUAUGAUUGCUACUGAGGAUGGUGGGUAUGAGUCCGCUAGUGACUAUGAUGAGGAGACUUUGGCUCUUAUUACCCGUGAAGAACAUGGUGGAGAUGAUUCUGAAAAUGAGACGCAAUACAUGGCUCCUGAA